rnacentral:rRNA from 1 species
AUACGGAGGAUGCGAGCGUUAUCCGGAUUUAUUGGGUUUAAAGGGUGCGUAGGCGGUUUUUUAAGUCAGCGGUGAAACGCAAGGGCUCAACCCUUGACCUGCCGUUGAAACUGGAGGACUUGAAUGCGGAUGCUGUGGGAGGAAUGUGUGGUGUAGCGGUGAAAUGCAUAGAUAUCACACAGAACACCGAUUGCGAAGGCAUCUCACAAAUCCGUGAUUGACGCUGAGGCACGAAAGUGUGGGGAUCAAACAGGAUUAGAUACCCUGGUAGUCCACACUGUAAACGAUGAUGACUCGCUGUCGGCGAUAUACAGUCGGUGGCCAAGCGAAAGCGAUAAGUCAUCCACCUGGGGAGUACGACCGCAAGGUUGAAACUCAAAGGAAUUGGCGGGG